UGUGAGAGGUAAAGACAUUUUCUGAUAAGGGAUAAAGGAAGAAAAUGGCAAAAAGCACAGACGCAAAAAGAUGUGCUCUCUAGUUUUUCUUUAGGGCAUUUACUCGAUAGCUAACAACAGACUGGGGUUGUCCGUGUACCGUCCUGAAGGGAGAGGUGUCCCCAUCUUCUCCACCUGUGACCCAGAGACGUUCCUUCUCUUUCCAGAUCAUCAUCCUGACCCUCUCCCCUGACCAUCCUUUCUCCCCUUCUAACAUCUCCCUCCCUCACCUCCCGUUUCCUUUCUUCAUUACUAAGUUUGGUUUAGAAUCAAUAUCUCUAUUUCAUCAUCACCCACCCACACACUUUGACUUCCUUCAUGAGCUGGCUCAAAUUCUUUAUUAAACUAUUUUUAUUGCUUGCAUAAAAGUCAACGACAAGCUUCCCUUCACCACAGAAACGAGCCUUCCUCAUAGCCUCUCCAGGCAUGGGACAGUUUCCCCUGCCCCACUCCUUCCGGACAUGCUCCCCUUCCUGCACGUCCAAGCCUCUAACCCUCCUUCUCCUCCCUUUCCUAUUGGGGUCUACCGUUGCCCCUAGUGACGCAGGGGCUUUGACGUGGAGUUCUUAGCCUCCUGCUCUUUCUUCUCUAUGUCUCCUUCCUGAAGAGCCUGAACCACUGUGCGGAUGAAGACAUGGGGGAGGCGUGUCUCACGCACCUUUGCUCUACCUCCCGGGCUUCCUCAGCACUCACUGCUUGAGAUCCUCAACCGUCAACCUGGCUUCUCCAUGCUCACAAGGCUUGCACUCCCUAAGUUUCCUAAGUGUCUACGUCUAUAAUACGAGCAUUGAAAUAUCUUUCCUGCCUGAUCCAGAGGGUGGUUGGAAUAAUGGAAUGGUUUUUAAAUCUUCAUAAACACCUACAGUAUUGGCAUAUCAAUUAUCCUACCAACCCCCUGACUCUAAAUAACUCUUUUUAUUAAGCCACAAGAUCUAAAUCCUCUCCAAUUUGUUCUCCCUUCACCUCGGUGGGAUGGUGAAUCUCCAGGUCCUAGGGUUUUCCUCUGAUGUGUCUCACAAGCCCAUUCUUGCCCGUCCAGUUCCUCUUUCCUCACUCUUUCUGCCCAGGUCUCCGUCCGCCAGGACUUGCUGCCUGCAAUAGUUGCCUAAUUCACACAUUUCCAAUUUUCCCUCUUUGAUCCAUUCUGCUACCCCCAGAAUAAUCUUCCUAAACCUUAAUUUCUACCACAUCUCAUCCCAUUCCCUAAAAUGAUUAUAGUUCCCACUAUGGCCAGGAAAAUAUCCAAACUCUUCUGGCUGACUCUCAAAUUCUCUACAAUAUAACCUUUUCUCUCCAGCCAAAAUUAUUUCCAAGUCAUUCCAAAGCCACAACCCACAACCCACUACUCCUAAAUGUAAAUGUCAUAACUCCCUUUGCAGCUCCAUGUGUGUGCCUGUGUCUACGUUUUAAAUUUAUUUUGCAUAAUUCACACUGUGCAGUCCACUGUUGACUGAGCAUGUAGUUUUGAUCCACUUUGUAUUGAAAACUCUAAGCAGGGUAAUAUGAUCAUAAAAUAUAAUUUGAAGGGCAUUUUGGUUUAAAUAAUGACUCACCAUCGAGCCCUCCAUUGGGGAGUCAGGCCCAGAGCCAAACCAAAAAAAAUGAGCGACAAGAGUCAAUGCAUUAGUUAGAGGCUUCAGCUCAGUAUGACUGAUCUGGAAACAUAUCCUGAUGCCUGGUUAAGAAAGCUUUAUGGCAAUAGGAAAGCAAAAAAGCUUGAUGUGUCUGUUUUAAAAAUAAAAGAAGGCUAAAUCCAUUAACAGGUGAAACAACUGACAACGGACCCACAUCAAGCCAGAGUCCUUCUCAGCAUCACAGAAAUCUCCUUACCUAGGGCCAGCUGACCAUCUGCCAGAUGGCUAGUGGUUCUAAGAAAUCCACCAGGGACCAAAAGCAGGGGACUAUAAGAUUAGGCAUCACACAAAUGUAUUCCAAAUCCUGGAGCUGGGGUCACUGAUAGUCUACUACAGAAAUCAAAAGAGGUGCCUCAGAAGACACAGGCUGGCUUCACAGUCAUCCAUGUGUCUACCCUGAGAUCUCAGAGGUCACAGGAAGACCCAAAGAUCUAUCCAGCAGAAACAUUUGGACAGAAGCAAGUCCAAGAGAAUUCUUUAUAUUCACAGCUGCUACAGUUGGUCAACUCUUGAUUCAGGCAGGUUUCAAGCAAGUCCUUCUUCCCUCCCUGGUCUGCACAGGGGUGAUUUUAGGGAAUCAUAAGGGAAGAAGGGGACGUUUAGAAAAAGACAAAGAGUGACACCACACACAGAGUUUCAUGGAAUGUCCAUAUUGCUUGCCUUUUCAUCACAGAUAGUAUUUUACCUCAUUAGUUCAUUCAUUUGACACACAGUUAUUGGGCCUUUAUGGUAUGCUAGGCAUUUUUAGGUGCCAAGGAUAUAGCAAUAAACAAGACAGACACAGCCCUUAGUUUGUUAAGGAAGCAGGCAAUAAGUCAGCAAAUGAAUAAGAUAAUUGCAGACAGUGCUAAGUGAUAUGAAGAAUCUGUAAGUCUACAAAGAAUGGAGAGUGACUGUAGAGUGGUCGGGAACUUUAAGCAUGGUCAAGGAAGGAACAGGAAGGAGGCAAAGAUAUGCCCCCAACUCCUCGCUCAACUCCCAGAGAUGAGAGGUGCCUCUUGGCUCCAGCUCUGCAGCCACUUCUGCUCAAAAGGUACGCUGCGUUGCUUUCUUUAUUCCUUUGUUAAACCUGGCACCAGCAAAACAGGCACCUCAACACCUAUAAAUGGUUAGGAAUAGAUGGGCAUGCAAGCUUUUCUCCUCUACUGAUUUUACUGGGCAUAAUAGUAGGCUUUUUGAUAUACUUGAUCUGAUCAGAAAUAAACCCGAAAACAACACAUGAUACCUGUAAUUGUUUUCCCUGGUUUACCUUGUGUCAUUUCUAAGGCUUAGAUUCCCAUGACCCCCAGCUGUUCUCCACUGAGUGCUCACUGUAGAGAAAGUUGCUCUUCUUUUUCUUCCUGUUCUCUAGACGCACUUACCUCUCUAACUCUGGUCUACGCCUCCUUAUCAAGGCACAGAUGCAGCUAAAAAGCAUUCCACCUGCUCCCUAGCAAAGGACUUCUUUGUUAAGCUUUGACAUAAGGAGGGAAAACAGAGACCUCAGGACUUCUACUGUGUUGACAUUGUUUUAAGCAAGGUGGGAAAAGAGAACAGAUAAGCAAGUCGUUCUACUGGCUCCACUUUCCCACCACCUAAGUCAAUUCAGAGUAUUUCCCGAACAUUUUUUACCCAUAGAUUCAGAUUACCCCUAAGACAGAUGGUUAUGGUUUAUUCCGUUUUGUGCACACAGGGGUAAAAGUCACUUAAAAUUGGACUCAAAUUACUUCAAAGUUUGAUACCUGCCAAUCACCAUUUCAUCUUGGGUAUACAAAACCAUACUGCAUAAGCUCCAAUUGCCUGAUUCUAAUUUUCAAUGUUUUCCCCUUUUUAGGUAAAUACCAUCUUCAGUUUUUUUUUCCUUUUUUUUUUAAUGAGCAGUUUAAUGGAAAAUAAUUGCUCCAGGUACAGGUCUUCUAACUUGGAAAGGAUAUACCUGCUUAUGAAAUACUAAUGAUGACAGCAAGAAAGUCUGAUUUCAAAUCUAUGGGUGCCAACAUUCUAUGUAUGGUCAUGGAAAUACAUAUGUAAACUUGAUACACUGACAAGUCAUUUCCUAUGACAUUUUGCCAAUCAAAAUAAAGUAAAAUGAAGAAAAUUGUUUAGAAAAUCUGGAUCUUGUUUCCUUAAGGUGUAUGUAGGAGGAAGCAGUAGGAGGCAGGAGGCAUUUUCAUUUUUAUUUUACUGCACCAGUGUUUGGAGCUCAGCAGCUGAGAUGGGGUGAGUAACACAUGAGCUUUGAUGAGCAAUUGUGGACACAGCCCUUUUUGCCAACAUCUCACUCAUUACCUUUUCCCUCCACUUUUUUUUUUUUUUCCCUACUAGAUUAUAACAGUCUGCAUCAAGAAACAUUUCAUUUAAUUCUGGAAAGGCACAGCCAUGGAAAUAGAAGAUUAAAAUGAAAAAAAAAAAAAAGAAAAAAGAAAAAGAGAAAACCCACACAAAAAAAAUGAAACUAAGAGAUUCUGAAAGCAGCAUUUCCUAAUUAAGAAGGC
rnacentral:lncRNA from 1 species